rnacentral:lncRNA from 1 species
GUUUUGCAUAAUACAUAGUGUGAAUAGGUGACUUGGUUGAUCGAAUUGUUUAUUGCAAAAUAUCCAAGAUACAAAGUAGCUAUCAAAUCACAAGCUGCGAAAAUUGGUAUGAAAUAUCUUUCGUCUGACAAGUUUUUCAUCUAAAAUGCAUGUACUUAUAAGACAAGGACGUUUCCGCAUAUUCCAACUAAAAGAUAAACAG